GUCAGAGAAAGGCAGCAGAAAAUACGAGAGGCAGAGAAAAGGUAGCAAGGAAUCAGAAAAGAUCUUGCAGAGCAAACCCAGGAGAAAAAGCUGAGGAUUUUAGCAUUGCAUGAUGAUCCAUUUCAGCUGUGUCCAGCUUCCAAGUGACACCAUGAUGACCAAGCCGUCUUGCCAAGCAUGGCAAUGUGUGUGCACUACAAGACGCUAUAGUGGGGAGCAGUAGACUUAAUCCUGUGGGAAGAUGGUCUUGAAUGAACAUAUGCUUAUCCUGGUGUACAUCUUCUGAGGAAAAACGGAAGCAAAGUGUUUUUUCUGGUACUCCUUUCUACAAGAGCGGCUUUUCCUGUGGUCUACCAUGCAAAGCAGCUCUGGGCUUAUGAAACUGAGUGCAGGCUGGUGAGAUUGUAUCAUCCUUAGGAAAAUAUGACCCUUCCUGUGUGUUAACUAGUACUUUUGAUUUUUUUCCAGAUCCUGAAGACUGCGUUUUUUUUCUCCCUUCUUCUGAGGAGUAGCUCGGGGCUCUACAGGUCUUGGUUACUGAAAACAAGCCAUCUCCACCUGCUCUCUGCUGCUGAAGCGGACAGGGUAGGGAUGAGAGCCUGCAGCUAUUUCCUCAGGGAAGAAGUGACAGAAGAAAGAAGAGUUUAAAAGUUCUGAUUUUUAUCACACAGGCUCCAACUUUUGUCUGAAAUAUUACUGAGGGAGUGACAGACAAUGCUCUUCCAGCCUCAUGAUGGCCUCUAAGUCCCCUUUGCCCAUGUUUCCUGUAUCAAAGUGUCCUCACACCUGGUUCUCUACAGUUCCAGAACUCUUCUCCACACAAAAAUAUCACAGAAACGAAGGUGUUCUCAUGCCCUUCCCCAUGAGAGGGUCAAAUAGUCCAGGACCAUGAGUAGUAGAGAGAUGAGUUAACUUGGUGUUCUGCACGUUUGGCUCACUUAGGCAUCAGGAUCAGGUAUCCCGCACAACACAGUACCUGGACAAAUGCUACAGGGAGUUGCUACAGGAAGACUUUCUUCACAGCUCAAGGUCCUGAAGGAAGUGAUUUCAAAAGCAUAGCAGCCCAUGCUGUCAAAUCAGAGAUAGCUGUCACUUUUCCACACCCCCACACCCAGUGCUGCAAUAUCGCCAAAAAACCUCCCUUCCCUCAUAGGUACGUAUAGAAAAUCAGUAUCUACCUGUCUGUAACGGGGAAAAACAAUAAGGGACCCCUCAGUGUGUCCUCAUUGGAUUUAACUGCAGAUUCCAGGGACACAGAUCCUGGAUCAGCUCUGGAUGGUGCACAUUCUUUUGAAAUUUCCCUCAUAGUCAUCCCAGGAUCCGAAAGCUCACCUGGGCAGUGGGUUUCCACCUGACAGUUUCUUUAGGCUCUUUGUACAGCGUGUGUGGCUGCAACACUGUGUUCAAGGUGUAAUCAUUGCUUCAAGUCUUCAAGAACACUGCUUUCACUCCCUUGACUGAUGUAGAAUUCCUUUCUCUCACGCCCAACAGCAGUCAUGAAAGGGCAGACUCUCAGGAGAGCCACUGAGCGUUCUGUGGUCUGCUUCAAGCAGCUUCUGGUUCUUCCACCGCAUAGAUUAAUUAUCAUCUGUCUCAGGAUGUCAGUUUCUCCUCUUGAAAUUCAUGAGGCAGAAGACGUAGUUCUCACCAUGGCGAAAUAGGGUAAAAUGAGAAAAAGGAAAAUUUUAAAAAGUAUUAUAAGAAAAUUACGGAAUUCAAAAUAAGGACAUUGAAGACAAAAGACCAGACAAGAUUUUGAACCAGAAGUAUUGGUGACAAAAAGGGUUGCAAAAAUGAAUCAGGGACUGACAACCAACAGUAGGUGCCAAUACGCACAUGGCAUUCGGCUCUUUUAGCAAGAAAACUUUGUCAGAGUAUUGAAAGAGCUCUGCGUUGUUCAAGAUCUUGCUACUGAUAUGUCUGUGUUAGGUACAAGCUGAAAGAGCUUGUGGGAAGGUGGCACACACAUUGGUCAAGAGCCUAAUGUUGCAUUGAGUGUUGGGAUCAAUUUAAAUUACACUUGGAUCUGAGCUUCUAGAUUAAUUUAAUUCUAAAGACUAAACUGUAUGUACUAAAACAGUGCUCUGAGAACCUAAAUAAUACACAGAGAAUGAACACAGUCAGGAGUUCACUUUAAAACUGCAGUACUGCUGCAAAACAAAUCACUGCAUUGAUCAUCUGUGACUUUGCUGUCAGUGUUACAGCUGCAAAGGAUCGGUUCUAUCUAUGGCCCUUUUCUAGAUACACAUUUACUGCAGGCUAUCAGCAUCAGAGCUGUUCACGUAAAUAAACCAUUUGCUCAAAUAUAUCUUUUCCCAGAGCUUUAUCUGGCAAAGAUUGGCUAAGAACACGCCCAGGAUCCUUUUGUCAGGACAAAGUUAUUUUCCUGUGGGAUGCGAAAAACUUAUUUUUGACCAUUUUUCUCUGUUUCUCAAACCAGGUUCUUCUGACGUAUCAGCCCUUUCUUGAACUCUGCAGUCAGCUGCUUCUAUAUAAAAGACCCCCAUUGAUUAAUUACCUUAAAUUUCACACUUGAAAAUAGAUUUGCCUAGGGGAAUAAUGACCGUCUUUGUUUGGAAAAGGACAAAAAUUGCAGUUUAAUGAUAUGGUGGAUAUAAGAUUUUCUGGAAUAAUUUCCUGUGAUCUUCCUCACAAUGUGGAGAUAAGAAGCAGGCAAGACUUUCAGUUAUGGUUAAAAUUUGCAGUCAGACACAAAGCUGCACUGUGGACCUUCUAUACGCCGUGGGAUUGGCGGAGCAGGGAAAAAGCAAAAAUCAAAUAAAGUACAACUGUGAACUUCUUGCAUUUUUUAAAAUCCACAGAGGUUCUUCUGUUCUAUUUAACCUUACCAAAUUUCAAUAUUAGAAUGUUUGAGGCAGAGUCCUGUGAGAUAUGUUCUCAGACAUUCCACUAAUUUGCUUGAACAGUAUGACCCAAGAACAGUACCGUGUCCUUGCUGACCACAACGUUGCUAGAAAGCUGAGGUAAAAUUCAGGUAAUGCAAAAUAAUUUCCAAAUUAAGGUUUUGACUGGUCGUAUUAAAAACACACUAGCAUUUUAAUAGAAGGUUUACAGAAGAUAUUAUGGCAUCACUGGCUAUGGAUUAGGUUUGGCAAUAGUCUGUUCCUAUCCUUUACUCUGCCAAUGACCAGAAAUCAGGGUAUUACUCUUGACAGAUGUAAGUAUCAAAUAAAUCUAAAAUAAUAAUGCUACUGUAUUUGCAAAUCCUUAGUAUUUCAUAUUUGUCUAUGUUUGCACUCAUUCUUUAAAAUCACACAAUAUGUUUUUACAAUACUCUUCACAUUUUUUUAAGAAAAAACCUUAAAUAAUGAUCUUAAGUUGCUAGAUGGAAUAUUAGAUUUAGAUUUUUUUUUUCAGUCAUACAGUUAAUCUGGGCUUUCUAUUUCUUCAGCUAAAACAAGAGAAAGUUUAAAAAAUAAACUAUUUCACUGCCUCCAUUUUUCAGCUUACAGAGCUUGAAUCCAUCAUAAGCAGUUCCAGGAGAGAAUUUAAAAGCUUCAUUUUUAUGGGGAAUGCCACAAAUUAGUCUAAAUUAAUAGAGACAUCUGAGGACUCCUCUGUCAUCCUUUCAUUCCACAGAAGGCAGAGGGUAUUUGAUGAACUUCCUUCAAAGGGCUAGCCUGAUCUUCCCAAACUUCCUUGCAGCCCAUCUAUUGACAUGCUAUCAUUUUUAUAAGCA